AUAUGUAGGCUUAAAAACCCUAAAAUCACCAAUUCCUGCCCAAUCUUGAAAGCUAAGCAUGGUAGGUCCUUGCUAGUAUUUAGAUGCAAGGCCACCAAUGACUACCAGGUGCUGUAGAUU
rnacentral:rRNA from 11 species